rnacentral:rRNA from 1 species
GCGGCAUGCUUUCACAUGCAAGUCGAACGGUAACAGGCCGCAAGGUGCUGACGAGUGGCGAACGGGUGAGUAAUGCAUCGGAACGUGCCCGGUCGUGGGGGAUAACACUUCGAAAGAAGUGCUAAUACCGCAUACGAUCUAUGGAUGAAAGCGGGGGACCGUAAGGCCUCGCGCGAUCGGAGCGGCCGAUGUCAGAUUAGGUAGUUGGUGGGGUAAAGGCCUACCAAGCCAACGAUCUGUAGCUGGUCUGAGAGGACGACCAGCCACACUGGGACUGAGACACGGCCCAGACUCCUACGGGAGGCAGCAGUGGGGAAUUUUGGACAAUGGGCGCAAGCCUGAUCCAGCAAUGCCGCGUGCAGGAAGAAGGCCUUCGGGUUGUAAACUGCUUUUGUACGGAACGAAAAGGUCCGGGUUAAUACCCUGGGCUGAUGACGGUACCGUAAGAAUAAGCACCGGCUAACUACGUGCCAGCAGCCGCGGUAAUACGUAGGGUGCAAGCGUUAAUCGGAAUUACUGGGCGUAAAGC